GGUGUGUGCAGAGCUCUGAAAUUUUUCAGAAAUACAUGGAAGUGAAUCUGUGAGAUCUGUCAGUUACCCUGGCGCAUGAUUUCGCUCUGAAGCACCUUGACAGAAAACCGUAAGCCCUAGAGCACAGGUAAAUUUCGAAAACAUUUUACAGGCGCAGGUUCGUAUCAAUGUCAUGACCAAGUUUGAUACCAAUCGGGCGAUAUUUGUGGGUGUGACAGCGAUUUCAAAAUUGUUUUGGGGUCAAAAAUUCGCUUCAUUUCUCACUCUAA